CCUACGGGCGGCAGCAGUGGGGAAUAGUGCACAAUGGGGGAAACCCUGAUGCAGCGACGCCGCGUGAGUGAAGAAGGAUUUCGGUAUGUAAAGCUCUAUCAGCAGGGAAGAAAAUGACGGUACCUGAGGAAGAAGCCACGGCUAACUACGUGCCAGCAGCCGCGGUAAUACGUCGGGGGCAAGCGUUAUCCGGAUUUACUGGGUGUAAAGGGAGCGUAGACGGGAGCACAAGUCUGGAGUGAACUGCCGGGGCUUAACCCCGGAACUGCUUUGGAAACUGUGCAGCUAGAGUGCAGGAGAGGUAAGUGGAAUUCCUUGUGUAGCGGUGACAUGCGUCGCUAUUAGGAGGAACCCCAGUGGCGCCGGCGGCUUACUGGACUGUAACUGACGUUGAGGCUCGAAAGCGUGGGGAGCAAACAGGAUUAGAUACCCCUGUAGUC
rnacentral:rRNA from 1 species